rnacentral:rRNA from 1 species
AGAGUUUGAUCAUGGCUCAGAUUGAACGCUGGCGGCAGGCCUAACACAUGCAAGUCGAGCGGUAGCACAGAGAGCUUGCUCUCGGGUGACGAGCGGCGGACGGGUGAGUAAUGUCUGGGAAACUGCCUGAUGGAGGGGGGAUAACUACUGGAAACGGUAGCUAAUACCGCAUAACGUCGCAAGACCAAAGUGGGGGACCUUCGGGCCUCAUGCCAUCAGAUGUGCCCAGAUGGGAUUAGCUAGUAGGUGGGGUAAUGGCUCACCUAGGCGACGAUCCCUAGCUGGUCUGAGAGGAUGACCAGCCACACUGGAACUGAGACACGGUCCAGACUCCUACGGGAGGCAGCAGUGGGGAAUAUUGCACAAUGGGCGCAAGCCUGAUGCAGCCAUGCCGCGUGUGUGAAGAAGGCCUUCGGGUUGUAAAGCACUUUCAGCGGGGAGGAAGGCGUUAAGGUUAAUAACCUUGGCGAUUGACGUUACCCGCAGAAGAAGCACCGGCUAACUCCGUGCCAGCAGCCGCGGUAAUACGGAGGGUGCAAGCGUUAAUCGGAAUUACUGGGCGUAAAGCGCACGCAGGCGGUCUGUCAAGUCGGAUGUGAAAUCCCCGGGCUCAACCUGGGAACUGCAUUCGAAACUGGCAGGCUAGAGUCUUGUAGAGGGGGGUAGAAUUCCAGGUGUAGCGGUGAAAUGCGUAGAGAUCUGGAGGAAUACCGGUGGCGAAGGCGGCCCCCUGGACAAAGACUGACGCUCAGGUGCGAAAGCGUGGGGAGCAAACAGGAUUAGAUACCCUGGUAGUCCACGCCGUAAACGAUGUCGAUUUGGAGGUUGUGCCCUUGAGGCGUGGCUUCCGGAGCUAACGCGUUAAAUCGACCGCCUGGGGAGUACGGCCGCAAGGUUAAAACUCAAAUGAAUUGACGGGGGCCCGCACAAGCGGUGGAGCAUGUGGUUUAAUUCGAUGCAACGCGAAGAACCUUACCUGGUCUUGACAUCCACAGAACUUUCCAGAGAUGGAUUGGUGCCUUCGGGAACUGUGAGACAGGUGCUGCAUGGCUGUCGUCAGCUCGUGUUGUGAAAUGUUGGGUUAAGUCCCGCAACGAGCGCAACCCUUAUCCUUUGUUGCCAGCGGUCCGGCCGGGAACUCAAAGGAGACUGCCAGUGAUAAACUGGAGGAAGGUGGGGAUGACGUCAAGUCAUCAUGGCCCUUACGACCAGGGCUACACACGUGCUACAAUGGCAUAUACAAAGAGAAGCGACCUCGCGAGAGCAAGCGGACCUCAUAAAGUAUGUCGUAGUCCGGAUUGGAGUCUGCAACUCGACUCCAUGAAGUCGGAAUCGCUAGUAAUCGUAGAUCAGAAUGCUACGGUGAAUACGUUCCCGGGCCUUGUACACACCGCCCGUCACACCAUGGGAGUGGGUUGCAAAAGAAGUAGGUAGCUUAACCUUCGGGAGGGCGCUUACCACUUUGUGAUUCAUGACUGGGGUGAAGUCGUAACAAGGUAACCGUAGGGGAACCUGCGGUUGGAUCACCU